GUCGCGGCCCGCCUUGCGGCCGAAAUGGCCGUAGGCAGAGGUCUUG
rnacentral:sRNA from 1 species